rnacentral:rRNA from 1 species
AUGGAAGGGAAAGCUACCAAACAAGCUCGGCAGGGUGGCCCUGGCACAGUCGGUUCUCCCGGUCGUGGCAACUUUCCACAUCACCUCUCUCAACUUGCCGAAAGUGAUUCUUGGAACUUAACCACUAGUGGAGCUUACUCCUCUGCAUUGGCCCACGCGACACAAUUCUUCGGCUCCCGCCCGAGGUUCGACUAUUCCAAGGUCUGGUUCACCCACGCUGAGCCUAUGUGCAAAUUCUUCGUGUGGCUUCUCCUCCAUAGUACAAUCCUCACUACUGAUAUGCUAGCUCUGCGAGGCUGGCCACACGACCCAAGGUGGCUACUAUGCCUUCAAGAGCAGGAAACAGUGACCCACCUUUGUAAGGAUUGUCUCUACUCGGUCGCGGUUUGGAACCAGGUGCGUUCAUGUCGCAACGCGAGGAUCAUCUACACCUAUGGUCUAUCUGGAAAUAAAGAAACAUGUGCGUUUUCAUAG